rnacentral:rRNA from 1 species
CCCCUAGAUGUUCUGGGCCGCACGCGCGCUACACUGAACAGUUCAACAAGUCUUAACCUUGGCCGAUAGGUCUGGGUAAUCUUUGAACGCUGUUCGUGAUUGGGAUAGACCUUUGCAAUUAUGGGUCUUCAACGAGGAAUUCCUAGUAAACGCAAGUCAUCAGCUUGCAUUGAUUACGUCCCUGCCCUUUGUACACACCGCCCGUCGCACCUACCGAUUGAAUGGUCCGGUGAAAUCUCGGGACGGCGGCUUGGUCGCUUGCGUCCGACUGCUGAAACUUGAUUAAACCUUAUCAUUUAGAGGAAGGAGAANUCGUANCA